UGCAAUUUAUAGGCCGUUAACUGGCCAGUAGUUUUCCAGAGGUGGUUUGUAGACAGUGGUGAGUAAAGAAAGACCCAGAGACUGAUUCUCCUCACAUUCUGUAGGGUAUCCAUCUGCCCUGUUAGAAGGCUGCAGGGCAUCAGGCAUUUGGGGACCCCAAGCAGACCUGGCAAUCCUUUCUUCCUAUUCCUUCCACAUGGGCACUCUGGCCAGGAAAGCAGGUGCAGGACGACGUGAAAGCAGCCCUGGAGGUCUCAUGGUGAAGACGGUCGUGUCACAAGAUGGGAGGAACCUGGAUCCCUGAGUCAGAGAAGAGGUGCCCAGGAGAGCCACCCAACCAAGAACACCUACACUGAACUUUGCAUGAGUAAAAAAAUAAUUUGUGUGUGUGUUAAGCGUCAGA